CGUGGACGUGUUGUAUUUUGUGGGUCAAAAGCCUAUGAAGCAACGGCGGCACGCGGACACAGACUAAAAAAUAACUUUCACGAUUAUGAAAAUAAACAUGCAAAGUUGUCGCCAAGAAUUGAUGAUAGAACCGUAAUGCUCAACGGGUAACCGAAUUGAGCCAGUCCAAGACUCGCAAGGUUGAGGGUUGUUGUGGGAAAGUCGCACGUUUGGGGUCGAACCCUUAACUGCUCGCAAGGCAGGCGGUAGAUAGAACCAUGAGUAAUCAAUUCUUAUAGUGGAAAUGCCACCACUCAAAACAAGGCCGGUUCGGUUGAUUCGUCCAUGAGGACGAGGAUAAGGGUAGAACGUCUUACUAGCACUAGGACGAUAAUGACCCGAAAGGCAACCUUCAAAUGCUUUAAUCUCAAGCA
rnacentral:sRNA from 10 species